AGAAAGGGAACUCCCUGACCCCUUGCGCUUCCCAAGUGAGGCAAUGCCUCGCCCUGCUUUGGCUCGUGCACGGUGCGCACACCCACUGACCUGCGCUCACUGUCUGGCACUCCCUAGUGAGAUGAACCCGGUACCUCAGAUGGAAAUGCAGAAAUCACCCGUCUUCUGCGUCGCUCACGCUGGGAGCUGUAGACUGGAGCUGUUCCCAUUCGGCCAUCUUGGCUCCUCCGAACUCCAAUUUUGAAAUAAAUUAUACUGUGGCUAAAAUGUUGUCAAACAGCAUAACACGCUACAGAGAAAACUUUUAUGAAAGGAAGAGUCAAUAGUUGUAGAAAAAUUUUUGUUGUUUAAUUUUAAGAAAUUAUGACAGCCACCUCAACCUUCAGCAGCCACCACGCUGAUCAGUCCAGCAGACAUCAACACUGAGAUCCAUGCAUCAAGAAGAGCUACAUCCAAGGAAACUCAUCCAUGCCUGGACUUAAUUUAUAUAAUGAAAUUCUGAACUUUCAAUAGAUGCUGUAAUAGGAUGAGAGUUUUGGAGAUCUUGGGAGGGAAUGAAUGUGUUUUGCAUGGGGAAGGGACAUGAAUCACUGAAGCCCAGAUGAUGGACAAUGGCUGACAGACUCUAAAAAUGGCCCCAUGAUCUCCACCUCCUGGUAUCCAUACCUCUACAAUCCCUUCCCCUUAUUCAAUAGAGUACAAAAGAAGGAUAGGAUUUCACUUCUGUUAUUACAUUACAUACAACUGUAGUACCUGUCUUGCUGGAAGACUUCCCCUUUCCUGGCUUUAAAGAAAAAAGUUACAAAUUGUGAACAGCUGUCCCCUGUAGAAGCCAUGUUACAAUGAACUGAGGAAAGCCACCGGCCAACAUCCAGCAAGAAUCUGAGGCCCUCAGUCCGCAUUCCUCAAGAAACUGAAUGCUGCUGACAAAAAUACAAGAGGAAGUGGAUCCAUCCCCAAUCAAGCCUCCAGAAAAGAACACGGUCUUGGCCAAAACCUUGAUGGUAACCUUGGAGAAGACUCAGCUAAGCUGUGCCUGGAUUUCUGACUCACUGAAACUGUGGGAUAAUAAAUGUGUGUUAUUUUCAGCCAAUAAAUUUGCAGUAAUGUUAUUAUGCAGCAAAAGUUAACUAAUUUAUUAUCUUUCAGUACCUUAUCCUUGAUUGAUGUUUGUUCUGUAUAAAAUUGCAUACUUAAAAUAUAUAAUUUUUACUCAAAAUUUUGAAAAAUAAUAGUAUCUUCUAACCCAUAAUGUUGAUAUUUAGAAAUCUGAUACAUUAUAAUUUUUGAACCCUUGUA
rnacentral:lncRNA from 1 species